rnacentral:rRNA from 1 species
GACGAACGCUGGCGGCGUGCCUAAUACAUGCAAGUCGAACGCAGUGGGGACGGGUGAGUAACAUGUGGGUAACCUCCCAUCAGAGGGGAUAACACUUGGAAACUGGUGCUAAACCGAUACUGAUGGAUGGACCCGGGUUGCAUUAGCUAGUUGGUGAGGUAACGGCCCACCAAGGCCACGAUGCAUAGCCGACCUGAGAGGGUGAUCGGCCACACGGGGACUGAGACACGGCCCAGACUCCUACGGGAGGCAGCAGUAGGGAAUCGUCGGCAAUGGGCGAAAGGCGGACCGAGCAACGCCGCGUGAGUGAAGAAGGUUUUCGGAUCGUAAAACUCUGUUGGUAGAGAAGCGGUACCUAACCAGAAAGCCACGGCUAACUACGUGCCAGCAGCCGCGGUAAUAC